AGCCCAACCAUGUUGUAUUUUCCUAAACCUAACUAAGUGGUUUUGAUGCCUAAACCUAAGCAAGUGUUUGUGUUUAAUUGACAACAUUAAGCAUGUGUUUACUGCAGGCGAAAAUUGACGCCGAGGGGGUCUGACAAAGCGUCAGUAUGUAAUGAGUUGGGAUGAGAACGUGUUGGCUGCACAGAUGGCGUACAGUGGUUCUGUAGAGCUUUUUCACUGAAAACAGCUGCCUGGUAAGAAUAUUUUGGUCUUUUUGGUCACCAGAAAACCAAAACAGUGAGCUGAAACAAGCUAAAAGGUUCAGCAGUGCUGAGAGGAACUGCAGAGUCAGGUGAUAGUUCUCUGUGAGCUUGUCACUAUGAACAACCUCUUUUAUAUUAGAUGUUAUUUGAGAUAUUAUUAUUAUUAUUUAAAAAAGAUUAGAGGCACUGUAAGUGUCCCAUGAUGGUCCAGAUGGAGUGAUACUGGUCCAGAUGGAGUGAUACUACUUGAGCAAUAAGUUUCUACACAGCAGUUAAUCCCUCAUGGAUCAGAAACAAAAAGAUGUAUAUAGCUUCAAUCCAAAAUUAUCAGUACUUCCCUUCCCAAAAGCUAAAUCAGUCUAAUCUGAGAACCUAGAAGGUAUUUCUUUCUUUCCCAUUUUUACAUUUCGAUAAUGGAUUAAGCUCGUUAAGCUUAUCUCCCUCAUUGUGCGGCUCGAACAACUCCGGUGCUGUCUUACCCGCUGACUGGUGUAACUAUUAACACAACUGCUGCUGCCGUUGCAUCAUCGAAUCUCAUCAGGAGAGAGUGCAGACAGGAGAGAGGCCGGGUGGGGGGGGCCUUUGAAGAAUAGUUGCCAGGGAAACACAGCCUCUUAUUCUCAUGGCAACACACAGUCCGGUACCGUUCAGUGUUGGCAAUCAGGUGGAUUGGAUGGCUGGAUGAAUGAAUGGAUGUAUAGACUAUAGGCUCCUUAAUCUCCAGAGUGUGGGACACCAAAGCAUUGACUUUACUGCUUGUGGGGGUUGUAAACCAAACUGUCCACUGCUGGAAUUACAUGUCCUUUACCUUAAAUAGGGAUUUUUAUUUUCACUGUGUGUUCCCUUAAAGUUAAUUGCCUAAUGCGUAUUGAUCUCUCUUCUCAGUGAAAGGGCAAAGGUCAAGUACUGCACAGGAUGCUGAGGUCAAGGGAGGUGACAACUUGAACUAAGCCACUGAGGCUAUCACGCGUCGACAGAGUUUCGAUUGAACAGCAGAUACUGCUGAGACACAUGAUCAUCACCUGCUCUGAAAGACGGCGGCUCUGCAGUGAAGGAGACCAAAAUGAAUAAAUAACUGGUAUCCAAGGAUACUGAGGGAGGAUGGUGCGGCCCUCCCCCGCUGCGCAGCUGCAGUAACUUGAGGUACGCGGUUGCGCUCAAUCAACAUUCAGUGCUGCGUGAAUAAGAGCCCGGGAGAGAGGAGCAGACGCUGCCAGUGGGCCAGACGGCAGUUGUUAGACUGUGUCCGUGGUGGUUACGUCGGUGUUUGUCGUGUGUGCCGGAGUCGGCAGUGGUUUCCUCUUGGGAAUUAAGUGUGUUCAUUUUUGUAGUGCUGUGUGGCAUUUUCGCAGUUGCGCUUUCUGUAAGGUAGAAAGUAGAUUUAAGUUGUUUUUUAUACACUUUCCAUUUGUUGUUAAUAAAUUAUUACUCAUUGUUUGCACACAUCCGUUGCCCGUCUCUCUAUCCUGGGUUUGAAAGUUAUUGUUACUCCCUCCAUUCAUAUGACACACUAUGGCAUUUUUAAUGAAAUACUAUACCACAAUAUUUAAUGACAUUCUAUACUAUGACAUUU